rnacentral:rRNA from 1 species
GGCGAACGGGUGAGUAACGCGUGAGGAACCUGCCUCAAAGAGGGGGACAACAGUUGGAAACGACUGCUAAUACCGCAUAAGCCCACGGUGCCGCAUGGCACAGAGGGAAAAGGAGCAAUCCGCUUUGAGAUGGCCUCGCGUCCGAUUAGCUAGUUGGUGAGGUAACGGCCCACCAAGGCAACGAUCGGUAGCCGGACUGAGAGGUUGAACGGCCACAUUGGGACUGAGACACGGCCCAAACUCCUACGGGAGGCAGCAUG